GGAGAACGUGCCCUUAGGCGGAGGAUAAUCUCGGGAAAUUGAGGAUAAUACUCCAUAGGUCACGGGGUCUGGAACGACCCGUGGCCGAAAGCCCCGGCGCCUAAGGAUCGCUCUGCGGCUUAUCAGGUCGUAGUGGGUGUAACGUACCCCCUAGCCGACGACGAGUAUGGGCCUUGAGAGAGGGAGCCCAGAGUUGGAUUCUGAGACACGAAUCCAGGCCCUACGGGGCGCAGCAGUCGCGAAAACUUCACACUGGGGGCAACCCCGAUGAGGGAAUUCCUAGUGCCAGGGCCUCUGGUCCUGGCUUUUCUCCGGCGUAGACGACCGGAGGAAUAAGGGCUGGGUAAGACGGGUGCCAGCCGCCGCGGUAAUACCUGCAGCCCGAGUGGUGGUCGAUUUUAUUGAGUCUAAAACGUUCGUAGCCGGCCCGGUAAAUCCCUGGGUAAAUCGGGAAGCUCAACUUCCCGAAUUCCGGGGAGACUGCCGGGCUUGGGACCGGGAGAGGCUAGAGGUACUUCUGGGGUAGGGGUAAAAUCCUGUAAUCCUGGAAGGACCACCGGUGGCGAAGGCGUCUAGCUAGAACGGAUCCGACGGUGAGGGACGAAGCCCUGGGUCGCAAACGGGAUUAGAUACCCCGGUAGUCCAGGGUGUAAACGCUGCAGACUUGGUGUUGGGGGCCCUUCGGGGGCGUCCAGUGCCGGAGAGAAGUUGUUAAG
rnacentral:rRNA from 1 species